GUUUGUAUUUAUACCACCUGGAACACACUUCAUCUGAUUUUGGAAGCUAAGCCAGAUUGAGCCGGGUUAAUACUUGGAUGGAAGACCAUCCGGCUGUAUCAGGGACCUGCAGCUA
rnacentral:rRNA from 1 species